rnacentral:piRNA from 1 species
UCCUCCUGCUCAGCAGCACAAACUUUGGGA